GCAUGGCUAGAGUGUGUUACAACUAAACAAUUUAUUGUGCUAAUACUUGGAGAUCUGGAUGCACACGGACAAUGAGCACAUGUUAUCCUCCAGAAGUUGCGCCACAUGUUACCCUGAUGCAUGACAAAAGUGUAGCAUUGAUCUCAAAGUUGUGCUUGCAAUUAACAUCUACUUUAAUGGAUACAAUAUAAAUUCACAUUUUCAAGGCUAGCACAUGGAGCGGCAAAAGGGAGGAGGAGCUACCACGGUGGCAGAUGAACAAACAGCUAGGCCAGUUGAGGAGCGAUCUCCAGCAGCUCCCCGGUCACUAGAGGAGUCAAAGAUUGUUCGUUGAAAGACGGACAAGUGAUCUUGUCUGAAAGGAGUAGCGAAUGCUGAUGUACGUAUAUUUUUCGUUCAGUGUAAUGGAAGUGCAAAUUUGUAUAUACUUUACUGGCAUUAUUUAGUGAAUUUGAUCUUAUUUAAUAUAUUGGAUUUUAUACUGUGUUCUA